rnacentral:lncRNA from 1 species
UAAAACAGCUUCCUAUUGCUAUGGGCAGCAACAAAUACAUUCAUCAUGGGUGGUUCUCUGUGCUUCUGCUAACAAGAAGUCAAAGCACUUCCUUAUACUCUCUCUUUGCUGAGAUGGAGGCACUAUGUUUGAUUCUUCUAUGCUGCUUCCUGAUACAAUGCUACGGGUCCACUCACUUUCAUUACCUAAAGAAAGGGGAGGAGGUAACACUGUCCUGUGAAACAUGUCAAUGGGAGGCCGAUGUAAAUUCAGACAACAUAGUGGACUGCGGUGUCAUAGACAGUAUUUAUACAACAAACUCAAAAUGCAAAGCUCAAAGACAGGAUCUAUGCCAAGAGAUAAAGAAAAACAAAUCCACCAGUUGUGAAAUCUGUGUAAUGAGGGGAUUCUUUGCCUGUGUCAAUGCUGAAUCUGACUCCUGCUUCAUGCAUCCAUUUAAACCCUCUUCUCAUCAUGUGGAGUCCUUCAUUGUUGCUCAGGCAGAACCAGACAUUGUGUCUGGACCUGUAAUGGAAAACUCAGUGCUUGUGUCUGGAGGAGAAUCAAUUAAUCUGACGUGUGAUUUAAAAACAAAGGGGUAUUAUCCCAAUAAUCCUUUUGUGGUGUACUGGAUCAAGACUGGUGCUCACAGCAGCACAUGUGUGUAUUCCUUUGAUUACGCUACUGAUGAUUUUGGUUUUGAUGCCCACUGUGCCAUUGACAAAGAUCUUCUGUUAAGGAGAUCACACACAUCAAAACCCUCCCUUGAUGAUAACAACAUCCAUAACCUGAAGAUCAGCAAAGCCACUCAGUCAGACCGUGGACAGUAUCUGUGUGUCUUACAGGUGAACACAUAUAGUUAUAACCAGCAUGCUUGGGCAGUAAUAACCAACACCACAGUCAUUGUGGGUAAUCCUGGUAAGUCUAUGAACCUUACUUGAAAUUUUAUUUCCUCUCAGUUUAUUUUGUCACAUUGUGCUUCAACAGUUGAGCUUGAACCUGAACAUUUAGUUGGAUGCACAUUUUAAAAACCUUAACAUUAUUUACACAUGGGAACUGGUUUCCUAAGCCAGACAUUCAUGUGUUAUGUGAUCCAUGCUUAUCCUAACGUGCUUGACUAAAUAAUUAAUGGUAAAUUCUUGACAAUAAACUAAAUUUCACGAUAAUGUUAGUGUGUUGA